CGCCGACGAGAGGAGGAGCCCCACGCCGCCGCCCGACUCUGCCCGACACCGGCGUUACUCCUCCAGCAUACUGGCCUUAUCCCCGGUGGUAAGCCAUCUCCGCCUCUCCCCCCCCUGCUAGACGGGAACGUUGCUGCGAAUGUGAACCCGCAUUUUGUGAUCCUUCUUUGUUUCUGCAUAUGUGAAUUUCUUUUCUUGUGAGUGGAUUCUGAAUGCAUGCAUGUUCACACAGCAUGGAUUCUGAAUGCAUAGUGAGUAUUUGCUGUACAUGGUGUUUACUGGUUCUGAAUGUCCUGUGAGUGGAGAUUCUGAAUGCAUACUGCAUUAUGAAUGUUGAAUGAUGUUUUUUUUGCGGGGGAUCUGAAUGUAGAGCUGUCUGAUGGUGAUGGUCUGAUGUUGAUGGUGAUUGAAGUGUGGUGCAGAGCUGUUAAUUAGUUAACAAUCUGUUGUGCUGUGUCGGUGGUGCUGCGAGAAGCUUUCGUUUUCGUGGCUGAGCCGCAUGAGAUAUCUGCGUAGCCAUCUACAUUUGUAUGACUGAUGUUUGAAAUGCUUAUGAACCUAUGUCAUGGAAUCACUUGCUGUAAUGUGUUUUUGUUGUCUUGCAUGGUUGCAUACAAUGGCAAAUUCUUAGGCCUCGUCUGUCUGAAAGCAUUUCAAGUGAAAGAAUGCAAAAGACUACAUACUGCUGAUAAUUUCUUAGGCUUAUAUUUCCAGACUUGAAGUUAGCAAUUUAAGUACGGUAUAUGUCAUCUUACUUGUCGCUGAUAUGUUCUUAUUUUGACAGCCUGCCGCUUCGAUUAUUGUGGGGGUGGACGAAUUACCUCCGUCUUGGGAUUCAGUUGUCACGCCUAACUUCGGUAAUGUACACAAGCUUUUUGGCCUCUAGACCUUGUUUCUUAAGUCUUAACCGAAGUACUAUAUCCUACUUGAUAGAUCUUGUAGUCUUAUCAUUCUCUCCUAAUUUAGCGAUAGUCAUCUGAACUUGCAAAUCUACAACACUUGCGACUAAUGCUACUGUCUCUUCAUUAUUCCAAGAGUUUAGCAGUGAAAUAUGUUGUUUGGUAUAUAAUCUUGUUGUUAGCUUGUUUGGAAGUUUGAUAAAAUGCAUGGACCUUGUAGUAUAGUGUUGCUUGAUUAUGUUGUCACAACUCACAUCACGAGUAUGCGUACAACAGGUUUAAGCUGAUCUGCUUGCGCCAACUUGCAGGGAGAAGCCGUUUUAAGCUGUACUGUACUUCUUUGUUUCAGCAUGUACUUGUUCCAUCCAUGUGCUGGACUCUAGAGUUUGGUUUAGAAAGUAGUAGUUUAUUACUACUAGCAAAAUCUUCCUUUUUGUGCAACUCGGCCUAAAAAUGUCAGAUAAAUAAAUAAGUUUGCCCAACAGGAUUUCAACUAUGGAGUUGGGUUUAUGUUGUUGAUAUCUUUCUUGGAGACUGCAUCCAGAGAGGCAGUGGAGGAUGUAUUACCUCAUCUUCAGUAGCUGAUCAUUCAUUACAGUUUCUUUGCAGUGCUCUUUCUAGCCAGCAAGGAAAUAGUCCACAUUGCGAGCUUCAUUGAAUAGUUGUUUGAAUUUGAAGGAAAUAAACAUACAUACAUCCAUGGCAAUAUUUCAUUGCGAGCUUUUAACACAUUCUGAGAAUUUUAGAAGUCCAGAUGUAUUCUUGUUAGUUUCAAAUAUGCUUUGCUUCACUUCGGAAGAUGCCAGUUGUUUGAAUUUUAACUCUGCAUUCUGCUUGAGAUUUUUUGUUUGUUUGAUAUGAACCUUGUGCUUCUGCCUUUGACGAUUUCGUUGAAUUCACCAUUGACCUAGGUCUUGGUUUAAUUCCAUCAUCAUGUUGUACCUGUGUACUACUUUUUCUAUUUAAUUCUUUUGAUCUGAUGUUUGGGUGCCAACAGAUAACAGGAGAUGUACAGACUAAGGAAGGAAAGUUUUUAUUUGACCAGAUAGGGUCACUUCACACUGAAUUUUGUUUUCAGCAGCAAGAUCGCAGUGCAAGCUUUAAUAUCAUUUACUCAAAACACAUCUAAUCCUUGGACCAAUUCAUCUGUUUUUAUAGGGAUCUGAUCUCGCGGAAGACGGGUGACCACUUUGCUGCCACAAGUCUCCUUCACACCGUGUAGCCCGCAAACAUGUCUCGGAGCAUUUGCCGAUCAUAUUUAUGUUGUAAUGAACCGUUAACUUUCGUUGAUCGAACAUCUUGUAUUUUUCAUUUGGACCGUGGCAUGUAUGCAUGUAACAUUUCAUUUGAACAGUUGAUAGUACAUGCAACAGAUUAUACAAGCCUUUUUGUUAUUUUGCGUAAUCUAGUUGCACCAUUGUUGCAAGUACAUUUCUUCUAUGAGCUUUUGAAGCUUUUGAAGUUGUAAAAAUUGCAUCUCUAAUUAUAGUAUACUAAUUUUGCAAACCCUCUGUAUCAAUCCCUGUGUACCAAAUAGAAGGGGUGUGUGAGGGGUUUG
rnacentral:lncRNA from 1 species